GAUGCCCUACGGGGCGCAGCAGUAGGGAAUUUUCGUCAAUGGGCGCAAGCCUGAACGAGCAAUGCCGCGUGAACGAGGAAGAUCUUCGGAUCGUAAAGUUCUGUUGAAGGGGAAAAAGAGCGGAGAGAGGAAAUGGUCUCCGAUUGAUAUUACCCUUCGAGGAAGUCACGGCUAACUACGUGCCAGCAGCCGCGGUAAUACGUAGGUGGCGAGCGUUAUCCGGAAUGAUUGGGCGUAAAGGGUGCGUAGGCGGCCUGCUAAGUCUGGAGUGAAAGGGACCGGCUCAACCGGUAGAGGCUCUGGAG
rnacentral:rRNA from 1 species